rnacentral:SRP_RNA from 1 species
GCUGGGCGUGGUGGCGGGCGCUUGUAAUCCCAGCUACUCAGGAGGCUGAGGCAGAAGAAUCACUUGAACCCGGGAGGCAGAGGUUGCAGUGAGCCGAGAUUGCACCACUGCACUCCAGCCUGGGGGACAGAAUGAGAUUCUGUCUCAAAAAAAAAAAAAAAAAAAAAAAAAAAANNNNNNNNNNUUUUUUUUUUUUUUUUUUUUUUUUUUUUGAGACAGAAUCUCAUUCUGUCCCCCAGGCUGGAGUGCAGUGGUGCAAUCUCGGCUCACUGCAACCUCUGCCUCCCGGGUUCAAGUGAUUCUUCUGCCUCAG